rnacentral:misc_RNA from 1 species
UAAACUGACUUGCGAGCCUUAACGAGCUAAAUAGCACUGAACACAAGCUCAACUCAUUUAUUAACAAGUAUAAAAAUAAGGAUUGAGCUCAGCUAAGCCUUAAGCAAUUUGCAAGCAACUUGUUUUGUUUAUACCCCUACUUGUCAUAGAAAAGGGUUUGUUUUUUAGUGAUUCUUGAGGUCUUUAUUGAUGUUUUGGGGAGAAAGUUAUCUAUGAAUGGCUUGAAAGGCUUCUUGUGCCUCAGUUGUUUUAUUUCAAUAGUGAAACCUUGCUUUCCACUUCCAGACGGUGGAGACUGGUGGCAACUACUACAGAAACUUUAUUCUUUAAGCAUCUAUUGGUUUAGCUAGGGUUAUUAUGUCUCUUUGAGCCUUAUUUAUGAGGAGGCUAACUUGUGGGAGCCUUAAGUUUUCUUUUCUCUUUUUAGGUGAUCGGG